rnacentral:rRNA from 1 species
GAUGAACGCUGGCGGCGUGCUUAAUACAUGCAAGUCGAACGAGGGACUUCUGUCUUCGGAUGGAGGUUUCCUAGUGGCGAACGGGUGAGUAACGCGUUGGUGACCUGCCCCGAAGUGGGGGAUAACAGUUCGAAAGGACUGCUAAUACCUCAUGUGAUCAGCUGGAUUAGAUGCCUACUGAUUAAAGGCGAAAGCCGCUUUGGGAGGGGCCUGCGUCCCAUCAGCUAGUUGGUAGGGUAAUGGCCUACCAAGGCGAUGACGGGUAGGGGACCUGAGAGGGUGGCCCCCCACACUGGCACUGAAACACGGGCCAGACACCUACGGGUGGCAGCAGUAGGGAAUAUUGGACAAUGGGCGGAAAGCCUGAUCCAGCAACGCCGCGUGCGCGAUGACGGCCCUAUGGGUUGUAAACUGCUUUUCCAGGGAGAGAAACUUACGCACGUGUUGCGUGACUGACGGUACCCUGGGAAUAAGCAUCGGCUAACUCCGUGCCAGCAGCCGCGU